UAGGGAAUCUUCCACAAUGGACGAAAGUCUGAUGGAGCAACGCCGCGUGAGUGAAGAAGGGUUUCGGCUCGUAAAACUCUGUUGUUAAAGAAGAACAUAUCUGAGAGUAACUGCUCAGGUAUUGACGGUAUUUAACCAGAAAGCCACGGCUAACUACGUGCCACCAG
rnacentral:rRNA from 1 species